UGUUCUGUGGUUUAGUUGGUUAAAGCGCCGGCCUAGCGAUACGGAGUCGUGGGUUCGAAUCCCACCAAAACAA
rfam:Aedes albopictus isolate Foshan contig95317, whole genome shotgun sequence.